GUAGGUGAACCUGCGGAAGGAUCAUUACAAAAACAAAAUCCAAACCACACCAAAUGUGCUCUAUAAAUGCGAAAAGCUGUCUUUGUGUGUUGUAUGUUGUGUGAGAGGAGAAAAUUUAUUUUUCUUUUCAUACACACACACACGCACACACACAAUCCUUCUUUUCUGCAUUGUCUUUGUUUAUCAAUUUUUUCAUUAACUCCUUGUUUAUAACCAACAACGGAUUACAAUGUUAAAACUUGAAACAAAA
rnacentral:misc_RNA from 1 species